CCUACGGGAGGCAGCAGUGGGGAAUAUUGGACAAUGGGGGGAACCCUGAUCCAGCCAUGCCGCGUGUGUGAAGAAGGCCCUCGGGUGGUAAAGCACUUUCAGUGAGGAAGAACGCCUGGUGGUUAAUACCCAUCAGGAAAGACAUCACUCACAGAAGAAGCACCGGCUAACUCCGUGCCAGCAGCCGCGGUAAUACGGAGGGUGCGAGCGUUAAUCGGAAUUACUGGGCGUAAAGCGCGCGUAGGUGGCUUGAUAAGCCGGUUGUGAAAGCCCCGGGCUCAACCUGGGAACGGCAUCCGGAACUGUCAAGCUAGAGUGCAGGAGAGGAAGGUAGAAUUCCCGGUGUAGCGGUGAAAUGCGUAGAGAUCGGGAGGAAUACCAGUGGCGAAGGCGGCCUUCUGGACUGACACUGACACUGAGGUGCGAAAGCGUGGGUAGCAAACAGGAUUAGAUACCCCUGUAGUC
rnacentral:rRNA from 1 species